CGGGGGGGGCAAGCGUUGUUCGGAAUUACUGGGCGUAAAGGGCUCGUAGGCGGCCAACUAAGUCGGACGUGAAAUCCCUCGGCUUAACCGGGGAACUGCGUCCGAUACUGGAUGGCUUGAGUUUGGGAGAGGGAUGCGGAAUUCCAGGUGUAGCGGUGAAAUGCGUAGAUAUCUGGAGGAACACCGGUGGCGAAGGCGGCAUCCUGGACCAACACUGACGCUGAUGAGCGAAAGCCAGGGGAGCAAACGGGAUUAGAUACCCCGGUAGUCCUGGCCCUAAACAAUGAAUGCUUGGUGUGGCGGGUAUCGAUCCCUGCCGUGCCGAAGCUAACGCAUUAAGCAUUCCGCCUGGGGAGUACGGUCGCAAGGCUG
rnacentral:rRNA from 1 species